rnacentral:lncRNA from 1 species
AUCACUAAAAUGGGUGAAAAGGCAGACGGAAAUUUUCAUCUUAGCUGAAAAACGAGUCAUGGGCAUGAUGGACUAAUAGGGACUGAAUGUAUUCUCCCACCUCAAGCAACUAAAAAACUGGACAAAAUGUAUGCAACAUGAGUUUUUAGAAACUGGGUAAGAUAAAGGACAAUAAUAUUUGAGAGAAGAGAAAAAAGUAGGGUGACCCUUAAAAUUUUCCCAUCUCACUGCCUGGAGAGUUUUCAUGCCACAGCAUUGAGGGGUAGGAGGUGACCCAGGUGGAAUCUCUGAGUCUUAAAGACAGAGUUGAGAAUAAGGGGAGGCCAAGACAGCUGGAACUCCAAGGCAGAGGAUAAGGAGGACAGCAUCACAGAAAGCGAGAAUCAUGAAAGCUGCAGAAGGUUCCCCUCUAGUUUCCACCUGAAGACUAAUCAGCACAUCUGUGAGAGAAAAAUACCUGAGGCAAGGAAAACAACCACUGGAAAGGAGGAGGAAGAACUUACAAAGCUCACACAAGGCAGGGAAUAGUUUGUUUUCCCACAAUCCACAGUGGAAAAACCUUGUAAGACAUUAGGGAUUAGGCAGAGUACUCAGUCAGCAUGGAGGAAAAAUUAUCUUUAGACUAAAGAUUGUUCUAGUCUUCUCCAACAAAGUACAAAAGCAAACAUUAAACACACAUACACACACAUACACGUCUACAUAACAAAACUGUACGCCAAAAUGAGUAAUGUUUAUAGAAACUAGAAAUACCCAGUACCCAACAAGGAAAAUUUUAUGAUGUCUGGCACUCAAUAAAAAAUUGCCAAGCAUACAAAGAAGCCAGAAAAUAUGACCCACAGUGAGGAGAAAAAUCAACCAAUAGAAACAGGCCCAGAAAUGGCGCAGGUGACAAAAUUAGUACACAAGGACAGUAAAAGCUGUAAUAACUAUUUUCCAUAUGUUUAAUGAAGUGAAAGAAUAAGCAUAAUAAGAACUAAUAUGGGAUUUUUAAAGAAAAAACAGGGGCCAGUGCGGUGGCUCACGCCUAUAAUCCCAGCACUUUGGGAGGCUGAGGCAGGUGGAUCAUGAGGUCGGGAGAUUGAGACCAUCCUGGCUAAUACGAUGAAACCCCGUUUCUACUAAAAAUACAAAAACUUAGCCGGGCAUGGUGGCGGGCACCUGUAGUCCCAGCUACUCGGGAGGCUGAGGCGGGAGAAUGGCGUGAACCCGGGAGGCAGAGUUUGCAGUGAGCAGAGAUCACGCCACUGCACUCCAGCCUGGGCGACAGAGUGAGACUUGGUCUCAAAAAAAAAAAAAAAAAAGUAAAACAAAACAGAAGCCAGUAGUAGUCUUUGACUCCACCUUCUCACUCUCUGAUAGGCAUUAAAGAAGACUGAAGAUGGGCCAAGAGCAGUGGCUCACGUCUGCAAUCCUAGCACUUUGGGAGGCCAAGGUGGGCAGAUCACGAGGUCAGGAGUUUGAGACCAUCCUGGCCAAUGCGGUAAAACACCCUGUCUACUAAAAAUACAAAAAUUAGCUGGGCGUGGUGGCACAUGCCUGUAAUCCCAGCCACUUGGGGGACUGAGGCAAAAGAAUCAUUUGAACCAGGGAGUCAGAGGUUGCAGUGAGCCAAGAUCGUGCCACUGUACUCCAGCCUUGCAACACAGUGAGACACCAUCUCAAAAAAGAAAAAAAAAAAAAAAA